ACCUGGUGCCCCUGUUUCCGGUGUGGCAAUUGGGAAAAGAGGACAGAGGAUGAAAUGGGCAAACACCUGCAGAAGAGUGGUUUUACGCCAGAUUAUACGGUGUGGACAUAUCAUGGUGAGUCUGCCCAACGUGACAGAGCUGAGGUGGAUCGUCGUCGCACCGACGAGCAUGGUACCGGGAUGGAAAACAUGGUGCAAGACUAUGAUGAUGCUCGGGAUUCGGACGAGGAGAUGGAGGAAUCUGCAAAGGCCUUCAAUGAAAUGUUGGAGUCUUCAAAACGUCCGCUCCACGAGCACACUAAGCUUUGUCAGUUGGAUGCCAUCUCACAAGUAAUGGCUCUGAAGGCUCAGUUCAACUUGGGCAGAGAAUGCUACGACGCAAUAAUGACAGUAUUUGGAUGCUUUCUACCCAAAGGCCAUGUAAUGCCUGCAAAUCUGUACCAGUCGGACAAAAUCCUCCGUGCACUGAAGAUGCCCUAUGAGAAGAUACAUGCCUGUGAGAAAGGAUGUGCCUUAUUUAGGCUUGACUAUGCGGACUUGAACUAUUGUCCCAUUUGCAAAUCUUCCAAGUAUGUUGUGGUAGACAACGGUAUGGGUGAGAAGACACAGACCAAAAUCCCCGUUAGUGUUCUUUGGUAUAUGCCAAUCGUACCAAGACUUUCAACGUCUUUUCAUGGUCGAAGAGACGGCCAGACAGAUGACAUGGCACAAAACAGGCAAAAGAACCGAACUAGAUGCAGAUGGGAAUCUGAUGAUGGUACACACAUCGGAUGGUGUUGCGUGGAAAAAGUUUGAUGAAUUACAUGCUGACAAAGCGGCAGAUCCGAGGCAUCCUCGAGUCGGCAUCAGCACGGAUGGGUUCAGUGUGUUUGGUAUGACGGCAGCCCAAUACAGUUGUUGGCCCGUAUUUGUCUUUCCACUCAAUCUCCCCCCAGACAGAUUAUGCAAAGAAAGAACAUUUUCCUCACGUUGAUAAUUCCAGGGCCCAACUAUCCGGGGAAAAAUAUGAAUGUGUACAUGCAGCCGCUUAAGGACGAAUUGCAAGAAGCCUGGGAUAAUGGGUUCAAGACAUACGACGCCUAUAGCAAAUGGAACUUCAUAAUGCGUGUCUGGUACAUGUACUCGACGCAUGACUUGCCGGCGUAUGCGCUAUUCGUUGGCUGGUGUGUGCAUGGAAGGUUCCCGUGCCCCACAUGCAAGGGAGCUCUUGAGUUUCAUUGGCUUCAGGCCGGUCGCAAGUUUUCUUGCUUCGACAUGCAUAGACAGUUCUGGAUCCUCGCCAUAAGUUCAGGAAAGACAAGAAGAACUUCAUCAGAGGUAGAGUUGUCAAAAACUCUGCACCACCUGCGUUGACAAGCCAACAGACCCUGGAUCAGUUAAACGCUCUCGAGCCAGAUCCAGAGCGUCCAGGGUACUUCAAGGGGUAUAAUUCUAAGCACGCCUGGACUCACAAGACAUGCUUAUGGGAUCUGCCUUACUUCAAAGACCUCCUUUGCCCACACAACAUCGACAUGAUGCACACUGAGAAGAAUAUCGCCGAGGCACUUUUUGGUACAUUGUUUGGCAUAGAUGGGAAGUCAAAGGAUAAUACUAAGGUUAGAUUCGAUCUGGAGGCGCUAUGUGAUAGGCUGUUACAAAACAUGAAAGAACCGAAAGGAAAGCAGAACUGGACGAAGCCAAAGGCAUGGUUCAAUCUUGGAAGGCCAGCUAUGAGGGAAAUUAUCUUGUGGGUGAAAAUGCAGUUGAUGUUCCCCGAUGGGUAUGCAGCGAAUCUAAAGAGGGGAGCGAGUCUUGAUAAAUUGAAGAUAUUUGGUCUCAAGAGUCAUGAUUGGCACAUAUGGAUUGAGCGGGUAAUGCCGGUGAUGUUGCGUGGCUUCAUCCCUGAGGAUGAAUGGCUAGUACUGGCAGAACUCGGCUAUUUCUUCCGUGUUCUUUGUGCGAAAGAACUAUCGCCUAGUGUGCUAGAAGAAAUGGAAGAGUUGGCGUCGGAGUUGAUCUGCAAGUUAGAGAAGAUCUUUCCACCGGGCUUCUUUAAUCCAAUGCAGCAUUUGAUUUUGCAUCUCCCGACCGAGGCAAGGUUGGGGGGGCCCGUGCAAAAUCGUUGAUGCUACCCAACUGAGAGGAUGCAGAAGACGCUUCAACAAAAAUGUAAAAAUAAACGUAGAAUUGAAGCAUCGAUGGCUGAGGCAUUCAUCACUGAGAAGGCGGCAAACUUCAUGACAGCACACUACGAAGCCAAAAAUCGUCAUUUGCAUAAUCCGAAGCCUCGGUACAAUGCUGACGAACCUCAAAAGGGUGGACCCAACCUCAGCCUACUCAAAGGGAAUCUCGCACCAGCCAGUGGUUCAAAACCAGUAUCUUUGGAUAACGAAGGAUGGCGGACCAUUACGUUGUAUAUCUUCAACAACUUGACAGAAGUGUGGCCGUACAUCGAGUAAGUUCUCGGUACAUUGUUUCGCAACUUCUAUUUCCUUUGAACUGCCCUUAUUCCUGGAUAUUUCAUACAGUCGAUACAUCGCCAUAUUCUCGUAUGGAGCGGUAAUCCAAAAGGAUUCCGUCGAAGAGUAUGACCUUCUCGCAAAGCAAGGAGGCGGCUAUCCCGGUUUCAUCUCUUGGUUCAAACAAACGGUAAUUUCUAUUAGACCAUUUCAUUACAUUCGCUAAUUUCUGCCUAAUGCAACAAUCCUUUCGUAUUAAACUUGUAGGCUAAUUCAGAGUCUAUGGACGCCGAAUUGAGACAAGUCGCUAAUGGUUUUGACUAUAAGGUCCAUUCAUUUGAUAAAUACGACAUCAACGGGUAUCGCUUUCGUACCUAUGGCAAAGAGCUAUCUAUGGCCGACCGAAAGUCUACAAAUUGUUGUGUAUCUGCUAUCGGCGAAGGAGGUACCGAGUAUUAUGGGAGAGUUGAAGCAAUUUAUGAACUUAUAUUCUAUGGUGACAACCCACCGAAUGUCGUACUCUUCAAAUGUUAUUGGUUUCAGCCGAAGGAGACUAGAAGGACUCAUGAACAUGUAGGGCUAGUUGAAAUCAAACAAAGCACCCAUUUAGAUGUUCCUGAUGUCUAUAUUACGGCUCAACAGGCGACCCAAGUAUUCUAUCUACCGUGGGCCUGCCAAACUAAUCCAAAUCUGAAAGGUUGGGAUGUCGUUUAUGAAGUGCCGCCACGUGGUAGACUAUCUCCCCCAAAGGAAGAGGAUUAUGAACCUCACAUUAACCCAGACACAUCUGAAGGAGAAUUCUUCCAAGAGACACGUCUUUCCAAAAAGCAUUUCAAGAACCGCUAUACUUCACCCCAAAAUAUUGAAGUAGACAGCGACAGUGAAUCCGACAUCAACCCAGAGGAGGAACAAGAAGAGCAGGAAGAAGAAGAGGUUACUGCUGCGGAUGACCUGUCAAUGCUUGACCGAUUACGUCAAGGUCGCCUUCCACAUGUUGAUGCCACUGAACCCUAUGAGCCCGUCAUUGAUUAUAGUGAUGAUGAUGAUUAUGCAUUUAUUGAUGAUAGUGAUCGAGAUUAUUAGUAGUGUCAGGUAUAUAAUUUUUUUAUGUUGUACUUGAUGAUGAUACACUUAAGUGAUAUACAUAUUAUUAUUCAUGUCGGUAUUUUUUUUAUGUUGUACUAAUUUCGUUUACUCUUUGUCAUGGCAGGUGUUGAAAGAUGGUGGGCGCUGGUAAGUUUCUUCUAGUGUUUUGCUUAACAAAUGCAUAAAGACCUAGACUUAGCCUUAUUUCCUCCAAUAUGCUUACCACAAUGACCUAGAGUUAGCUUCUUUUCCUCCAAAAUGACUUAAUAAGCUUACUGACCUCCAAAACCAUCCAUUUUACCUAAGUUAGCUCUAAAACGAUCUAUACUUAGCUUUGUUUCCUCCAAAAUGACCUAAGUUAGCUAUAGUAUGCUUAGUUAACUAGGUUUGCUCAAUAAUGACAUGUACUUAGCUUACUUAUGUCAAAAAUGGCAUAAUUAGCUUACUUAGCUCAUAAACAAUCCAUUUUACCUAAGUUAGUUCUAAAAUGACCCAUUAUACCUUAGUUAGCUCAUAAAUGAUCCAUUUUACCCAAGUUAGCUCUAAAAUGACCCAUUUUACCUAGACUAACUCCAAAAUGAUCCAUUUUACCUAUGUUAGCUCUAAAAUGACCCAUUUUACCUAGGUUAGCUCCAAAAUGACCCAUCUUACCUAGGUUAGCUCCAAAAUGAUGCAUUUUACCCAAGUUAGCUCUAAAAUGACCCAUUUUACCUAGAUUAGCUCAUAAACGAUCCAUUUCACCUAGGUUAGCUCACAAACGAUCCAUUUUACCUAGUUUAGCUCCAAAAUGACCCAUCACACCUAGGUUAGCUCUAAAAUGAUGUAUUUUACCAAAAUUAGCUCAUAAACGAUCUAUUUCACCUAGGUUAGCUCAUAAAUGAUCCAUUUCGCCUACUUAGCUCAAAAACGAUCCAUUUCACCUAGGUUAGCUCCAAAAUGACCCAUCUUACCUAGGUUAGCUCUAAAAUGAUGCAUUAUACCUAAGUUAGCUCAUAAACGAUCUAUUUCACCUAGGUUAGCUCAUAAACAAUCCAUUUCAACUAAGUUAGCUCAUAAAUGAUCCAUUUCACCUAAGUUAACUCAUAAAUGGCAUAUACUUCUUCUUCUAGUCACCUUUUUCUAACUUUCUUAUUUGCCUUUUUGCAGAUUUCAUUCACUUCACGGAAGCUAGCUUGCUAUGAUGGAGUGCUUGUUUUUUCUUUCAUUCUCCUCUAGUAUUCUUCUAGCUUGCUAUGAUGGAACUUGCUAUCUUGAUGAAACUUUGCAUUGUAAUAUGUAUGGAUGGAACAAUGUGUAUGUGCAACUUGCUAUGUAUGAAUGGAUGGAACUAUAUAUGUAUGCACGAUGAAACUUAUGUGCUGGAUAUGUCAUAUGUUUGCUGUUAAAUAGCCCUGUGAAAUAUAUAUAUAUAUAUAUAUGUGUCAUAUAUUUGCUAUGAAAAUUGCUGGAUUUAAAAAAACAGAAAAAAGAGGCACCUUUGCCGUCAGCCGCUGAUGGCAAAGGCACCUUUGCCUACAGUGGCAGACGGCAAAGACUUGUCCCGCAGUGACGUCCAGCUGACAUCAUUCGGCGGAUGACAAAGGUCGGAUGCUCUUUGCCGUCAGCGGCGGACGGCAAAGGCUGCCGUUAGCCGCCUAACGGACUAACAACACAUUUAUUACCGUCGGGUUUCUUUGCCGUCCGCUGCUGAUGGCAAAGGCCCCUUUACCGUCCGCUUCAGAAAGCAGACGGCAAAGAAGCUCUUUACCGUAGCCUACUUUGCCGGAGCCUUUUGCCGUGCGCGGCAGACGGCAAAGGCCUUUGCCGUCCGCCAUCCUUGCCUUUGCCGUCUGUCGUGGCAGACGGAAAAGUAGCUGAUUCCUGUAGUGGUAAGAAGCGAAGAGAUAAGGCAGUGAUGACCGUUGAAGGAUCGGGUAUGCCUAGUACCGGCAAGAAGGCCAAAGCUGAGGCCCCCGGUAAGGAAGCUGCCGUGUACACUGACUGCCGGGAAGGUGCUGCUGCCGAGAAAGCCGGGAAAGGUGAUGGGUCGUAUUGCAAGAUUCAUCGGACCAAGGGCCACGACCUUCAAGAGUGUUAUCAGGUUGAGCAGCUUGUCAAGAAACAGAAAGCAGAGUAUGAGAAGUGUGAUAAGGAAAAAAGGUCAGAAUGUUGCUGGCGUUAAGGCCGAGGUGGUGAAGUAGGAAGCCUGUGAUGAUGAGAGUGAUGGAAGGAAUGAAGAGGAAACCAGUGAGCAAGAGUUUCAGAAGGCCACGGACGCCUUGUUCGUCGACGGAGGUGCAUCUCUGCACACUUCUCACUGCCAGCACAAGCGGUGGGCGCGAGAAGUCAAUGCCGUGGAACUAGCGCCAGAGGCCCGGAAGCCGCUUGAAUGGUCCCGUAUGCCCAUCAUCUUUGACAAAGAGGACCAUCCUAGCCGUACCACUGCGGUAGGAUGUUUGCCAUUGUUGGUCUCUCCAACAAUCCGCAACCUCAAGGUCACAAAGAUGCUGGUGGACGGUGGGGCCGGGUUGAAUCUGAUUUCCCCGGGAGUUAUCAGCAAACUUCAGAUAGGAGAAGAAGAGCUAGAGGUUACCGACACGUUUCAAGGAGUUAAUCCCGGCAGGAGCCGUCCUAAGGGGAAGAUCACGUUGCCGGCAACGUUUGGGGGAGAACUGAACUACCAGACUAAGAGGAUUAUGUUUGAUGUGGUCGAUCUCCCCCUGCCGUACAAUGUGAUUCUUGGAUGCCCGGCCCUGGCUAAGUUCAUGGUAGCAUCCCACUAUGCCUACAACGCCUUGAAGAUGCUUGGGCCACUAGGAGUCAUCACUAUCCCAUCAAAUGAGAAGGAUGCAAUCAUUUGUGUGGACAAGAUGUACCGGGACGCGGUCGCAGGAGAGGCAGCGGCAGCUCCCGCCAAGGGAAGUAAAGGAAACAAGAGAGAUCAUAGAGACUCCGGCAAAGAGUCCAGGAAGCGUGCCCCCACCGAGUGCACGGUACCCAUUGACGACGUGCUGGAGUGUUCUAGCAGCAAGAGAUCCAAGGUCGCUGCACCCCAAGUGAAGAAGGUCCCGGCAGGGCUGGCUGGCAUUGAUGGUACUUUUACUAUCAGCGCCCACCCUCGAUGACAAAUAGGAAUAUUGAUGUGUUUGCCUGGCAACCAUUUGAUAUCCCCGGUGUUCCCAGGGAGGUAAUCGAGCACAACCUUGCUGUCUGCCCACAUGCCUGACCUGUCAAGCAGAAAGUCCGGAAGCAGGCCUUGGAGAGGCAGCAGUUUAUUGCGGAAGAGAUCAAGAAACUUGAGGCAGCUGGUUUGCUCAGAUGAGUGUUGCAUCCCACGUGGUUGGCAAAUCCAGUGGUAUUUCGGCAGGCUAAUGGGAAAUGGAGGCUUUGCAUAGAUUUUACAGACCUCAACAAGGCUUGCCCAAAGGACCCAUUUCCCUUGUCGCGUAUCGACCAGAUUGUGGAUUCCACAUCAGGUUGUGAUUUGCUCUCCUUUCUGGAUGCAUACUCUGGGUAUCACCAAAUCUUCAUGUCAAAGGAAGAUGAAGAGAAGACGUCGUUCAUCACCCCGUGUGGUACGUAUUGCUUUGUCCGUAUGCCAUUCGGAUUAAAGAGUGCCAGGUCCACUUUUGCAAUGGCAAUCCAAAUUGGUUUUGAGCCACAGUUGCACAGAAACAUAGAAGCCUAUGUGGAUGAUAUUGUGGUCAAGACAAAGGAUAAGGCCACCCUUAUUCAAGAUUUGGAGGAGACAUUUUCUAAUCUGUGCAAGACCAAUCUGAAGCUUAACCCGGAGAAGUGUGUGUUUGGUGUUCCCUCUGGCAAGUUGCUUGGGUUCUUUGUAUCCCAUCGCGGGAUUGAAGUCAACCCCGACAAGAUCAAAGCCAUCGAGCAGAUCCAAGCACCAAGGAGAGUUAAGCAUGUGAGGCGCCUGACGGGAUGUGUUGCCAUGCUAAGCAGAUUCAUCUCCAAGUCUGCCGAGCGCGCCCUGCCAUUCUUCAAAAUUUUGAAGAAGGUCGGCCCUAUGAAGUGGACCCCAGAAGCAGAUGCAGCUUUGCAAGAGUUGAAGGCCUACUUGUCCUCUAUGCCUACCUAGGUUGCUCCAAAGCCCCAGGAGCCAUUGUUGCUAUACUUGGCGGCAACCAACCAAGUGGUCAGUGCGGCCUAGGUAGCACAAAGAGAAGUGGAUGAGGCAGAAAGUGAGCAAAAAACGACAGAGCCAGAGAAGGAUCAGAACAGCAAUGAGCACGGCAACGAGAGCAACCCCAAGGACGCGGCAAGGAAGAAAGUGGUGCAAUGUCCAGUGUACUUCGUCAGCUCCUUGUUACAGGGGGCUAGAUCGAGGCACUCUGGCAUGGAGAAGUGGAUCUUUGGUCUCGUUAUGGCCUCAAGGAAACUUCGCCACUACUUCCAAGCCCAUGAGAUCACGGUUGUUACUCGUUUUCUGUUGCAAAGGAUACUCCGAUACCCUGAGGCUACCGGCAGAAUAGUGGAGUGGGCUUUGGAGUUAUCCACCUUUGGUUUGAAGUUUGAGAGUACAUCAACUAUUAAGAACAGGGUGUUGGCAGAGUUUAUUGCAGAAUGGACGCCAACCCCGGAUGAGGAAGUGACCGAGAUAGUUAUCCCCGGCAAGGAAUCGCCCCAAGAAUGGAUUAUGUAUUUUGAUGGUGCUUUUUUCCUACAAGGUGGAGGAGCUGGCGUGCUUCUUGUCGCCCCCUCCAGGGAGCACUUGAAGUAUGUCGUCCAAAUGCAUUUUGCUAGGGAAGAAGCAACCAACAAUACAACUGAGUAUGAAGGGCUUCUUGCUGGCUCAGGAUUGCAGUUGAAUUGGGAAUUAAGAAGCUGAUCAUUCGAGGAGAUUCACAGCUUGUGGUGAGAAAAGUCAACAAGGAUUAUCCCAGUCCAUUGAUGGAGGCAUACGUCGAGGAAGUGAGGAGAUUAGAGGAGCGUUUUGACAGAUUGCAAUCAAAGCACAUACCCCGUGCGAAAAACAGCAUAGCUGAUCAACUGUCAAAGUGUGAUGCGCAGAAGCUUCCUAUGGAACCAGGGACUUUUGUUCUCCAUCUCACUCAGCCCUCCGUAUCCCCAGCAACAAUGGCCCGGAACAAGAGAAAGUUGGACUACGAUAAGCCUCUCCCGGUAGAGCCAUCCACUCCCGGCAGAGACCCAACCAACUCCUCACAGCCUGCCGGACCACCCCCUCUAGCCGGGUCCACAAACACCGCGAACGAGGCUGCUGCUCCUGCAGCAGAGGAGGUGCCGCUAGUCCUCGUUGCCGAGCCCCAGGCUCCAACUUGGGCAAGGCACAUUGUCCGCUUCCUCCAAACCGGAGAGCUUCCGCGUGACCAAGAUGAAGCUGAGAAAGUAGCCCGGAGGGCCAGUAUGUAUCAGUUUGUCGAUGAUACUCUGUACAGAAGGAGGCCCAACGGUAUGAAAUUGAAGUGUGUCUGCCGGGAAGUAGGAAAGGAACUGCUGGCUGAGAUUCACAGAGGAAUAUGCGGCUCCCACAUCGGAUCAAGGGUAUUAGUUGGGAAAGCAUUCCGCCUAGGAUUCUAUUGGCCCACAGCCCUCCAAGAUGCGGUCGAGCUAGUCAGGACAUGUGAUGCCUGCCAGUUCCAUUCCAAGAAAACACAUCUGCCUGCCCAAGCUCUUCAAACAAUCCCUCUAUCAUGGCCAUUUUUGGUCUGGGGGCUCGAUAUCCUCGGCCCCUUUCCCCGAGCAAUCGGGGGCUUUGAAUUCUUGUUCGUUUCCAUCAACAAGUUUACAAAGUGGCCGGAAGUGAUUGCCGUGAGAAAGGUGACUGCUCAGUCAGCUAUCAAAUUCUUGAAAGAAUUGGUGUGCCGUUUUGGAGUUCCGGCAAGGAUCAUCACCGACAACGGCACCCAGUUCACGAGCCACGCCUUCAUGCAAUAUGUUCAUGCCCUCGGAUGCAAGAUCUCGUUCGCCUCUGUGGCACACCCCCGGAGCAAUGGACAAGCUGAGAGGGCGAACGCUGAAGUGCUGCGUGGACUCGAGACUAGAACUUUUGAUACGCUGCAGAAGCACAGCAGGCGGUGGAUCGAGGAGCUGCCGGUAGUUCUCUGGUCCCUCAGAACGACACCAAAUGGAGCUACCGGGCAGACUCGCUUCUCCCUGGUCUAUGGGGCAGAAGCAGUUAUCCCCACGGAACUCAUUUACGGGUCGCCUCGAGUGCUUGCCUACGAUGAAGUAACGCAAGAUUAGCACCGGCAUGAUGACGAUGUGCUACUCGAGGAGAACCGUCUCCGGGCUACUACGCGUGCUGCACGCUACCAGCAAGCCCUGCGUCGCUAUCAUAGUUGCAGGCUUCAUGCCCGGUGUUUUGAGGAAGGUGACCUUGUCCUUAGGCGCGUUCAGUCCACCAAGGGUACACACAAGUUGUCACCAAAGUGGGAAGGCCCUUACUGGGUAGUACGAGUCACCAGACCUGGCGUAGUCCGUCUGGAGACCGAAGAUGGCACUGAGUUGGAAAACUCUUGGAAUAUUGAGCAUCUCCACAAGUUCUACCCAUUUGGUGUCGGCUCUGUGUAAUGAACGUUUACCCAAGGAUUUCAAGGGACCUCGGAAGGUGCCAAAUUACACAGCUGACUUGCAGCCUGGGGCGUGGAUUGAAAGCUAUGCGAUGGCCAUGGAACUGUUAGAGGUUAGUGACGCAGCAAUGGCCAAGUACUUCACUAUGAUGCUGGAUGGAACGGCCCGCACUUGGCUAAAGGGACUACCACCUAAUUCCAUUGGGUCCUGGGCCGAGUUAAAGGCUCGGUUUAUUCAGAACUUCAAGGACACAUGCAAGCAGCCUAUGUCGAUUGUGGAUUUGACUAAUUGCAAGCAAGAGGAAGGUGAGUCUACGACCCAUUGGGUGCGCCGGGUGAAGGAAAUAAUACAUUCAUCUGAUAAGAUGGAUGCCGGCUCAGCAGUCUUAAUGUUGGAGAAAAAUUGCCGUUUUGAACCUCUGAAACAGAAGCUGGGGCGGCUCAAAUGCGACUGCAAUGACAUGGGCCAGCUGAUGGCGGCUCUAGUCAAAUACGCCGACUCUGAUAGUACCAAGGAUCCCGCGUCUGACGAAGAGAAGACGGGGAAGGGAAAGAAGAACGGUAACGCUAAGGGUCUUCAGCAUAACCCGGCGAAUCAAGGAGGUAAUAAUAAACGAAAGGCUGACGGUAGCUUGGAGUUUGUGGCUAAUACACAGGGUAAUAAUCAACGACGUAAGGGGAGGCCACCUCCUCGGUCUGGCGGGUCAGGUCCUACCCUUGAGCAGUUGCUAAAUGAGCCCUGUCCAAGGCACGACACCUGGGAGAAGCCAGCUACUCAUCUAUGGAAAGACUGUACGAUCAUGAAGGCUUUCAAGAAUUCUAACAUGUUCGACGGCCAUCACGGGCCGGGAGGCAGUUCAGGUGGUGGCGGUUUUCAUGGCCCGGGCGGCGGCUCAGGCGGUGGCGGCUUUCAUGGCCAGGGCCCUCAAGGUAAUCAAGGCAGUUAUAAUCAACAAUCCGGCCAAGGAGGUCACCAACAGCAGCAAUCCGGGUAUCAGAGUAACCCGAAGCAGCUGAAUAGUGCGCACUAUCAUGUGUUUACCACCAGUUUAUGCAAACGGGAUCAGAAGCUUCAUAAGAGGGCUGUAAACGCCGUUGAGCCGGUAGUCCCUCGUUAUCUGAGAUGGUCUGAGCAGCCUAUUAUAUGGAGUAGGGAGGAUCACCCUCCCCGGGUUGACAAUCUGGGUCAUUUGGCCUUAGUGGUGGCACCUCAAGUUGGCGGAUACAAAUUCACAAAGGUGCUCAUGGAUGGGGGCAGCAGCAUCAACAUCCUAUAUUAUGAGACCUUUCGUCGCAUGGGAUUGACUGAUAAAUAGCUUAAGACAUCCAACACUGUUUUUCAUGGAGUGGUGCCCGGUAAGUCGGCGUACCCAGUGGGUAAGAUUGAGCUGGAAGUAGCCUUUGGUGAUGAGCAUGAUUCCAGAGCUGAGAAGUUAACCUUUGAGGUAGUCAAAAUCCGUAGCCCAUACCACGCAUUGUUUGGACGGCCGGCUUAUGCAAAGUUCAUGGCGCGGCCGUGUUAUGUUUACCUGCAGCUCAAAAUGCCGGGUCAUAAGGGCACCAUCACAGUGCAUGGGAGUCGAAAGAUAGCCUUGGAAUGUGAAGAAGGCGAUGCUGCUUAUGCUGAAUCUGUUUGCGCAACAGAGGAGUUGAAAUUCUACAAGGACAAUGUUGACCCGGCAGACAUGACAUCUUUGAAAAAGCCAACCACAGAACAUGAGCCGGUGAUGAAAUUUAAGUCGGCUGGUGAAACCAAGCUUGUUGAUUUUGUUCCAGGCGAUUCGUCUAAGCAGUUCAGCAUCAGUGCCAAUUUGGAUCCCAAAUAGGAAAGCGCACUCAUCGAGUUCAUCCGUGAGAACCGGGACAUCUUUGCAUGGAAACCUUCUGACAUGCCGGGUGUACCGAGAGAACUCGCUGAGCACACUCUUAAUAUUGAUCCAAAAUUUAAGCCGGUCAAGCAGUUUCUUCGGCGGUUUAAUGAGGAGAGGCGUAAAGCUAUUGGUUAGGAGGUGGCCCGGCUCUUGGCGGCCGGGUUUAUUGUUGAAGUUUUUCACCCAGAGUGGUUGGCUAACCCAGUACUGGUGCUCAAAAAGAACGGUACCUGGCGUAUGUGUGUGGAUUACAUGGAAUUAAACAAGGCUUGUCCGGUUGAUCCUUUUGCUCUUCCCCUUAUUGAUCAAAUCAUUGAUGCUACGGUGGGCUGCAAGCGUUUAAGCUUUUUGGAUGCUUACUCGGGAUAUCAUCAGAUCAAAAUGGCAGUUAAGGACCAGGAGAAGACGACUUUCAUCACUCCGUUUGGAGCCUUCUGUUAUGUGUCUAUGCCUUUUGGGCUUAAGAGUGCCCAGGCGACUUAUCAGCGAUGUGUGCAGAACUGUCUCCACAAUCAGAUUGGGCACAACGUUCAUGCUUAUGUGGAUGACACUGUGGUGAAGUCCAGAGAGAAGGAUACCUUGAUAGAUGAUCUGAAGGAAACCUUUGAUAAUCUCCGGGUCUACAAGAUGAUGCUUAACCUGGCAAAGUGCGUUUUUGGAGUGCCAGCUGGCAAGCUUUUGGGUUUUCUGGUCUCUAACAGGGGCAUUGAGGCUAACCCGGAGAAGAUUAAGGCAAUCACCUCUUUGGCUAAGCCGACAUGUAUCAAUGACGUUCAGCGUCUAGCGGGCCGUAUUGCUGCUUUAAGCCGGUUCAUAAGCCGGUUAGGUGAGAAGGCCAUACCACUAUACCAGAUGAUGAAGAAGACGAACAACUUCGUCUGGAGUGAUGCUGCUAACGCUGCCUUUGAAGAUUUGAAGAAGCAGUUAUUUGAGCCGUCGGUCCUUGCUGCCCCUAUUGAUAAAGAGCCCUUAUUGUUGUAUGUGGCUGCUAACGCACGUGCCGUCAGCGUGGCCAUUGUGGUGGAGCGCAGGGAGGUUGGCAAGGAGCAUCCGGUUCAAUGGCCGGUUUACUACAUCAGUGAGGUGCUUAUUGAGUCCAAGCAAAGGUAUCCACAUUGGCAGAAACUUGUUAUGGGGUGUUCAUGGCAAGCCGGAAGCUUAAGCAAUACUUCCAGGGUCACCCCAUCACUGUGGUCAGUUCUGCUCCUUUGGGCGAUAUCAUUCAAAACAGAGAAGCCACAGUACGAAUCGCCAAGUGGGCCAUUGAACUUGGGCCUCAUGGUAUAAAGUAUGUACCAUGUACUGCUAUUAAAUCUCAAGCACUGGUGGACUUCAUCAACAAUUGGACAAAGCUGCAGAUGCCUGAAGAAAAGCCGGAUAACACAUAUUGUACUAUUCAUUUUGAUGGAUCCAGACAAUUGGAAGGCUCGGGGGCUGGAGUUGUAUUAGCUUCCCCUCGAGGUGACAGAUUUUGUUAUGUGCUCCGGUUGAUGUUUCCCUGUACUAACAAUGCAGCUGAGUAUGAGACCUUGCUCCAUGGUCUUCGGAUGGCUAAGGAGAUGAACCUAAGCCGGGUAAGAUGCUUUGGCGACUCAGAUUUGGUGGCUCAACAAGUAUCAGGCAAGUGGGAUUCCAAGGAUCCUCUCAUGGCGGCUUAUCGCCGUGAAGUUGAUGCAAUUGCUGGACACUUCAAAGGUUACCAGGUGGAACACAUUGAUCGCAGAAAGAACGAGGCAGCCGAUGCUUUAAGCCGGCUGGGGUCUCAGUGUAAGCCGGUGCCACCUAACACUUUCUUAGAUGUUUUGCAUAAUCCUUUUGUCAAGUUGCCUACAGAGGAAGACUUGGCUGUUCCUGACCCGGAAGCACAACUGGUGGUGGCUCUUCAUGUUAUCCCAGAUUGGACAGUGCCAUAUUUGGCUUACAUGACCCGGGGCGAAUUGCCUGAGGAUGAAACCUUGGCUAGGCAGAUAACCCGGCGGUCUAAGUCAAUGACGAUUGUCAAUGGGGAGUUACAUCAUCGCAGUGUUACUGGGGCGUUUCAACGUUGUGUUUCUCCUGAGGAGGGUCAGGAAAUUCUUUGUGAGAUUCAUGAAGGUGAUUGUGGCCAUCAUGCCGGGUCAAAAUCCCUUGUGGCCAAGGCUUUUCGUCAUGGAUUUUAUUAGCUGAUGGCUCAUGCUAACGCGGAAGAUUUGGUCAGUAAAUGUGACGAUUGUCAGAAGUUCUCACGACGGGCUCAUGUGCCGGCUCAAAAUUUGAGGAUGAUUCGAAUUACUUGGCCGUUCGCAGUCUGGGGGCUUGAUAUGGUUGGGCCUUUCAAAAGGUCCAAAGAUAAAAAGACACACCUUCUGGUGGCGGUUGAUAAGUUCACGAAGUGGGUUGAGGCAGAGCCAGUCAGUAAGUGUGAUGCAGCCACAGCGGUUCAAUUCAUGAAGAAGGUGAUCUUUUGUUUUGGUUUUCCACACAGCAUCAUAACUGACAAUGGUACUAAUCUGUCCAAGGGUGCCAUGGAACAGUUCUGUCAACAUGAGCAUAUCCGGCUCGAUGUUUCAUCAGUUGCUCACUCUCAAUCCAAUGGUCAAGCUAAAACAGCCAAUCAAGAGAUCUUGAAAGGCAUAAAACCCUGGCUCAUGGUCCAUUUACAGCGGACACUGGGUUGUUGGGUGGAGGAGUUGCCUUCUGUGAUCUGGAGCAUCAAUACUACACCUAACAGAUCUAUGGGUUAUACGCCUUUCUUCACGGUUUACGGAGCAGAGGCGGUUCUACCUAGUGACAUCCGUCAUGACUCGCCCCGAGUGGCGGCUUAUGUUGAAGCUGAUAAUGAACAAGCUCGUGGGAUGCACUUGACCUAUUGGAUGAGAAGCAUGACUUAGCAGCUGCCCACUCGGCGAUUUACCAGCAGGACCUGCGCCGUUAUCACAGCCGCCGGGUUAAGUCCAGAACCUUUCAAGAAGGUGACUUGGUGCUCCGGCUCAUCCAGGAUCAGUCCGAUAUGCACAAGCUAUCCCCACCUUGGGAAGGACCCUUUGUGGUCAGCAAGAACCUGAACAACGGGUCAUACUACCUUAUCGAUGUUCGAGAGCACAAAGACUCACGUAAGUCGGAGAAGGAGACCCGCCGGCCAUGGAACAUUGCUCAUCUUCGGCCUUACUACACUUGAGCCACCGGCUCUCAUGAUGUACAUAUUAUGAAAUGUAUAUAUUAUGAUAAGUAAUAAAGCAGGUCCUCUGUCCUUUUCAUCCUCAAUGAUCAUAUGUUCUUAUUAUUUUAAACAUAAACGACCAGUUGGGGUCUGAUCGUAUUCGAAUCCAGUUUAACUCUCUUGGUCCGGCUCAUGAUCGUAUUCGAAUCUAGCUGUUACACCUCAUGGUCACUAGGGGGCUUCCUGUUCAAACAUAGGUCGUAUUCGAACCAAAGAGAACAUAGCUGUCCAUACCCUUUUGAUCGGCACACUGCCAAACUCACUAGGGGGCUUCUUGAUCGUAUCUGAAUCAUAGCUCAACCCCUUUUGGCUCCGACGUUGAUCGUAUUCGAAUCAGCGUCGUUAAAAAACUCUCAAGGUCAUUUCGGGGCUUCCUGUUCAAACAUAGGUCGUAUUUGAACCAAAGAGAACAUAGCUGUCGGUACCCUCUUGAUCGGCGCACCGCAAAGCCACUGGGGGCUACAUGGUCGUAUUCGAAUCCUAGCUUAACCCAUUUGGAACGGUUUACUGAUCGUAUUCGAAUCAGAAGCCUCAAAAUUUUGUUUAUUUUGAUGUUUUUUGCAAACAGUUUCUUUUUGAGUUUUCUUCUUGAGACUUCUUUUUGAUCCUAUUCGAAGCUUCUAAUGAGUGGCUUCUAUUUAACCCGGCUUGGCCUUAGUCAAUAAGUCGCCAGCAUAUAACAAUAAUCAUAUGCGUGGAAGUACCAGCUUCUACAAGAUUGGGUUCUCACCCUUACUGUUUGGGUCAUAUAAACCGGCAGUAUAAAUCAAAGGAUCACAGGUAUGAUAUUAUGGUUAUAUUUAAAAGCUAUAAAUGAUAACCGAUUUAUCUAUGACUCUUUUGCAUAUUCCGGGUUCUAUGUAAGAUAUAUGACCCGCCCUGCGGUAAACCGCCAAGGGUCUUGUGAUUUAUUUCUGUAUGCAGGACAGUGUAAAAGUUUUCUUACGCAUAAGGAAAACAGAUGAUAAGCAUAAUAUGGAUGAAUAUAAGAUGGCGGCUUAACAAUAUUGAGCACCAAACACGUGCACGAAGGCACGGCAAAACCACGUUAUGUCUACUCUAUUACAUGACUCCCCGAGUCCAAAUGAUUAACAUUGUUUUCCAGCAAAGCAUAAAUAUGAGCCGCCCGACGGAUCAAUUGCGUGGUUGGCCUGAAGCUUCCGGAUCAUCCCUUUCCACUCCUCCUUCAUGUUCCCUGUCCUGGAAGGUUGAUGAUGACCAGCCAAUGCCAUUCAAAGCUUCGAAUUUAGCUUCAUCAUCAAUUAAUCCGGCCGGGUCAACUUCAGGGGCAAAGGUAUGCUUACGAAUUGGAGGGAUCAGGCUGACCACUUCAUAAUGCGGCGUUGGAAUCCUCCGGUUUUCAGCAUCAUAGCCCGGAUGAUACUUGGUAAGAUCUGUGUCAUUAGCAAUCAAGGUGGCCACAGGGCGUAUUUCCUUAACACAAGUGGUGAAGUCCUCCUGUCCAAACGGUGUGCCGUCCUCUUUUAGGCUUGGAUACCCGAUGGCGAUGUCGGCCGGGUCUAGCUCCGGUAGCCACGCCUUGGCCCGGCUUAAUGUAGUUACGGCUCCGGCUCUCGCAGAAGAUCGCCUUAGUUCAUUAAACCGCUGAGGUAGCACAGCAAGCCGCUUUAAUACAUCUGACAGGAGGGUGGGAACUUCAUUUGAUAGGGCCACUGCGGCUAAGGCACGCUGAGACCCGGUGUAGAGUUGCUCCACCAGCGUAUAAACCGCCUUUAGCUUUAUCAGCAUGCUCUGGUUAAGAUUUGAGCUCCUGGGGCCUGCAUUAUAAUGUCAGGUGAGUGGAUGACAAUUGAUAUGCUUCUUAGAAAGAUUCACGUAUCUAAACACUUGCAGGGUGACUUACCAAAGAUUGCUGAGACCAUCUAAGAUAUAUGGCGUUUUAUACCGGAUAAUUCGGCGGUCGCUUUUGCAAGAGCCGCCUCUACCUUUUCAGCCCGGUUGAUCAAGGCGAUCUUUUCAUCAGCCCAGGCCUUUUUCUCCACUUCAAAGCCCUUUUUCAGUUUUUCUUGUUCAGAUACACUUAACUCGAAUUUAGAGUUGGCUUUCUGGGUCUCAAUCUCCUGUGCUUCCAGGCGAUUCUUCAAGUCAGAAAUUUCUGAUUCAAAUUGACUAGUGGUGGCCUUUACAAAUAUUGGGUCAAAAGGUCAGGAUUAUCAUGCUGUAAUAUUAAGUCCCGAGUCUUUUGCAAGCAAUAACACUUGGCACUUGGGGGCUAAUGUAUUCUGAAGAAUUAGUUUAAAGAGGCGGUUCAUGACAGUAAGUCCCAAUCGCUUUGCAAGCAAGAGUAUUUGGCACUUGGGGGGCUAAUGCAUAUUGCUGUUAAAGCCUUUUUAAAUAGUUUGUUCUGUGCAACCAUAUGAAGAACCGGUUCAAUCAUACUGAUUAAACCGCCCCUUGGGGACUACGGAGUAAGCCGGAGUUCUUCUGUGUUUUAGUUCAACUAUGUUACUAAUAUUGCUAAGUUUAUUUCUAAAGUCUACAGCAUAUUCAUCAUAAGCAAUAGACUUGGGGGUUGGCACGGUAAGGAUAAAUGAAUAUGGAGAAAAGGUUGUACCUCAAACUUCUGAUACAUUUGCUUCACCAUAUCAUUUCGGUGUCACGACUGUUGUGCACUUGGCUCAUAUAGCCAGAAAAGACUUUGCCAAUGCUCAUGUGAGUAUAAUCAGUGACGUCAAAUUUAACUCGGCGCCAUUCCAGAAGUUCCUCCUUGGCAGAACACUUGGCCAACACGGUUGGUCUCCCCGGUUCAACAAAGCCGGUCUUGGUGAUUUCGAUAUCAGCAUCUUGAGGAUCAUCCGUCCUGGCAGGGCUAGGGAUUUCCGGGUUUUCAGAACCAUCGAUGGCUUGCUCGACAGGCGGGUCAGCAGUGGGCGUUGGUAUAUCAUGAGCUGGCUCAUGUGGCGGCUCAUGAGUGGAGGUUUCAGGGGCGGCCGUUCCAAGUUCCGGCUCACUGAAGAUUGGCUCUUCGUCCGGCUUGUUCUUCUUCGCCCUCUUGCUGGGCUUUGCUUGUCCACUGCAUGAAAUCAAAAGGUCAGUACAAGUGUAGCAAAUUGAAGUGAAUACAAGAUAAGCAGGUUAUCAUUACUUUGGAGCGGUUUUAAAAGCCGGCAAAUUGGAUUGCAUGGAUUCGCCGGGGGAAGGUGAAGUUUCCUGAUAAUUUGAGUCAGAAGAAUUGAGUGGUUGACGAGUGAGACCCGCCAAAGGAUAAAAGGGAUAUAAGUCGGAGGUGACCUCGUUCCGACGCUUUCUUGGUGUAUUGGGCAAGCCGGAGGAGAGUUCCGCAUCUUUGUUGGUCCGGAUCUGCCUCCGGCUCUCAUGAAUCUGUCGCUUGAAAAGAAAUUGAGGAUCUUGGUAAGCUAAAGGAUGUGAAAAUCUUACUUUUCGGGUUACUCUUCGGACUUUCUGUCUUGGCAAAGGCUCAGAGUCGGAGGAAAUGAUAGUUACCUCUUCAACCGCUGCAUGACUCGCUCAUGUAUCCUCCUGAGGAUAAUCAGUGUCAAUAAGAUAGUUAAAAAAGGGCCUAGAGAAUCAAGAGCUACCUCUGAUUCAGAUGUUUCCUCUAGCCGAAGCAUGUCUAAGGCGCUCGGUUUGUUUCCUUUCUUCCUGGCGGCGGCUCUCCUGGCGGCUUUCUUAGCUUUUCUGGCCUUCUUUGCAGCCUCAUGAUCAUAGUUGGCUUUCCAAAACUCGUCAGUGGCCUGUGAAUUUCAACAAGAGUUUUGAGUAAAGGUAAAACCUCAAAGGUGAGAGUAUAAAAUAAAAAUGCUUAAGUUACUAGCUUACCGCUGGAGCCGGGUUAGCUUUGCACAAAGGGCUCAAACAUACUUUGCCACAGUCUGCCAGGCUCUCAUUCAGGAGUGAUUUUGUCCUAUCAUCAAUGACGUCAUCAGGUAAAUCAUCAGGGUUGUGCCGCAGAGGAUCAUUCUUCUGGCAUGUGUAGUCGCACAUCAAACCAGGGCGGCGGCUCAAUGGAAUAACCCGCCAGGCAAGCCAAACCCGGACCAAAUCAAUGCCAUUCAAGCCAUUCCCCAGAAGAGCCUUGACUUUGCUCAUGGUGGGGGCAAGUUUCUGGCGUUCAGCAGCUGACAGCUUUUCUGGUAGAGGAUGAGUAGACUCGAGGCGCAGGGCGCGAAAGCCGGGCAGAGGGUUUUCACCAGCCGGAGAAGUAUCUUGACAAUAGAACCAUGUCUGGUUCCAGUCUUUGGGGUGACUCGGUGGAUCGGCAUACGGAAAAAUGCAGUCUCUCCUUCCCUGGAUUGAGAUCCCACCAAGCUCCAAGCUAGGCCCGUUGGCACGUUCAUUCUGACGGUUCAAAUAAAAUAAUUCCUUGAAGAGCAGCAAGUUAGGUUCUUCUCCAAGGUACACCUCACAGAACACUUGGAAAUUGCAAAUGUUAGAUACGGAGUUGGGACCGAUAUCUUGAGGUCGGAGGUCGAAAAAGUGCAGGACAUCUCUGAAAAACUUUGAGCCGGGUGGAGAAAAGCCCGGUUCAUGUGAUCAGUAAAGAUGAUGACUUCCCCCUCUUUGGGUUGAGGUUUUUCCUCUGUUGGAUCAGGAGCACGAUAGGACAUGACUUCCUUCUUUGGCAGAUAGCCAGUCUUCACAAAAUCGGCAAGGGUGUUUUCUGUGACGAUGGAUUUGACCCAAUUGCAUGUAACGGGUGAUUUGGGCGCUUUCGGCGGCAUUAUAAAGAUGGAAGCCUACGACAAAAUAAAAAUUUCCGGUUCAAAUUUAGGCCGGAGAGAAAUACUUCAAAUCAUAUUCAAGAUGGCGACUUAUAAAAGGGGCCUAAUGGUAUAUGGCUAAUUAUGUCAGAUUAUUUAAGCCGCCAUGAGCAGUUAAGUUAUUUAAGCCACCAUGUGUGGUUGAACUUAGCUAUUGAGCAUUUCAAAUUAAAGCCGGUGGUAUGAGCCGCCAUGGCUAGGUGGAUCUAUCAAGAUACAGGCAUCGACUAAGUGUGCAAAAACAGGUUUCACAGAUUGCAAUUAUUAUUUUGGAUCAACGGAUGCUCAGAAAAGGAAAAAUAUUCUAGACCUAACAAACCAGUACAGAGGAGUUCAUAAGUUCUAAAGAGGCCUUUAUACAAGAAAAGGGGAUCUACUAGCGUCUGAAAUGGAUGCGAAACAACUACCGCGUGAGUUUAGUACUUCUUUUAGAUCAAAAGAGGACGCAAUGGAGAAACCAUGGAGAAUCCGUGAUGAACAGCGAAGAACACACAGGAACUCGCAAACCCUAAUGCGGAUCUGAGGUGCGGGAAGGCAAAGACUUACAGCUGCAGAUCUACUGCGGAGGGUCGUCGCCGUUUUCUGGACUGAUUCAGGUUGAUGCAGUGGCCGAGGUCGACGAAGACGGGGUGCUCUGCGGCGGCGGCGGAGCUCGAGUGGCAGUAGGGUUGCGAAAGGAAGAAGACGAGGAAAGGGGAGAAUGAGGAAAUACCUGGUCAUACCUUUUUAUAAGGGAAGACUGAUAAGUGGGCGCGAAAAACGAGGAGGCCGAAAAAAUGAUUAUCCAACUACAAGGACGCCUCGAUUCUCGGGAUGGUCAUUAAGACAAGGAUCCGUUGAGAUACGUUGGGCGAAAACAUGCAUUAAUGGCAGAUGACAUCAUGGCGGGUCACAACAAAUCCGAAGGAUGACAUCAUGGCGGGUUACAAAAAUUUUAUACAAGAGAAUUGCACAAGGUUUUGCUUAAGUAUUGAAGAUUGACAUCAACCAGUUCAAAUCAAUCUGGGGCCUAAUGUUGGGGAUAUAAUUAUUAGGUAUGACCCGCCCAGGAGGGGCCGGGUUAUACCAACGAAGACUCUCGAAGCCCAAGACCAAGCUUGAAGAUGGCGGUUCAGUUAAGGGCCUGAAGCCCAAGGGCGAUUCAAGGCCCGUAGUAAUAAACCGCCAUAAUGGUAUGACUUGUAUUAUAAGGCAAGAUUAACUAGUCACCGAGCCGGACACUGUUUAUGAGCCGGCCGGGACUCGGUAGGCCGCCGGGCGUCAACCCGUGUAUAUAAGGGCACGACCCAGCGGCGGCUUGGGGCAAGUAACAUCAAAUCGAGAGCUAGGUCAGGCGGAUUCGCUCCCUGGUUAUCGAGACAUACAUAAUCCCACUCAAAGCUGGAUCGUAGGCUUUUACCUUCACCGCAAGGGGCCGAACCAGUAUAAACCUCACGUCCUUUGUCCCGAUUAACCCCUUCUUGCUUCCUAGUUGCAAUGGCUCCACGACUAAGUCCUUUCACUAGGACAUCUGCCGUGACAAUUCCACGACAGUUUUGAUUUAGUAAUAAUACUAAACCAUUUUCGUUGCUUCUAAAAUUAUUUGUGGACGCAAUAUGGACUAACCCAAAGCCCCACAAUAUUUUUCAGAAUGAUUAGAGUUAUAAAGGUGUUUAUUGGAAUUUAUAACUCCAACUCAAUUAUAUUAUGAUUUAAUUCAAAGACCAUAAUGCCUUGGAAAAAUGUGCUACACCUCUCGUAAGGUUGUAACCUUUUUCCAUAAAUAAUGGACUUUUUUAAGGGCAUUUUGGGUUCACUGACAAUGUUUUAUUUUGAUCGUAGUUGAAUUUUAUUUGGUGCUAGGGUUUGAACAUCCCCAUUUCAAAUUCAUUUGAAUUUUACACAUGAUGCAUGCAUGAUUAUGCAACUAUUUACAAUCAAUUUCUAGGGUUGUGACAAUUGAGGUGCUUGCAUGGCAACCUUCUGAUAUCCCCGACGUUCCCAUGGAGGAGAUUGAGUGCCACCUUGACGUCUGCCCUAAUGCGAAAACUAUCAAGAAGAAGGUCAGGAAGCAGGCUUUGGAGCGGUAAGAGUUCAUUGCCCAAGAAAUCAAAAAACUAGAUGCGGCAGGCUUGGUAACAAGAGUGCUACACCCAACUUGGUUGGCAAAUCCCAUGGUCAUUCGCAAGGCAAAUGGGAAGUGGCGGCUUUGUAUUAACUUCAUCGACAUAAACAAAGCAUGCCCAAAGGAACUCUUCCCUUUGCCGCGGGUUGAUCAGAUUGUGGACUCGAUCACCGCUCUCUUUUCUUGAUGCCUACUCUGGUUAUCACCUGAUCUUCAUGGCCAAGGAAGAUGAGGAGAAGAUGGCAUUCAUUACUCCAUGUGGUACGUACUAUUUUGUACACAUGACUUUUGGAUUAAAGAGUGCCGGAGCGACAUUUGGAAGGGCUGUGCAAAUUGGUUUUGGUUCUCAGCUACACAGAAAUGCAGAAGCCUAUAUGGAUGAUAUAGUGGUCAAAACCAAGCACAAGGAUUCACUGAUCCAAGCACAAAAUCAACUUGAAGCUCAACCCUAAGAAGUGUGUGUUUGGCAUUCCGUCCGGAAAGCUUCUCGGGUUCUUUGUAUCUCAGCACGGAGUCGAAGCCAACUCCGACAAGAUCAAGGUGAUUGAGUAGCAGCUCUAAGCAGGUUCAUCUCCAAGUGAGCUGAGUGUGCCUUGCCAUUUUUCAAAAAAUCUUGAAAAAAGGCAUGUCCAAUGCAAUGGACCCCUAAAGCAGAGGCUACGCUCCAAGACUUGAACGAGUACCUCUCCUCUCCACCAGUACUAGUUGCGCCAAUACCACGAGAACUGUCAUGGAUUUGUCACACCAGAUGUCCUAAUGAAAGGACUUAGGUGUGGAGACAUCGCAACUAGGUUAGCUUAAAGGGGUUGAACAGGACAAAGGACACAAGGAGUUUACCCAGGUUCGGCCCCUCUCAAGGAGGUAAAAGCCUACUUCCUGCUUCUAGUUGUAUUGCUAGAGUUUCGAGUAUAAGGGAGCGAAUACACUUGACCUAGUUCUCGAUUGGUUGUUUCUUGAGUUAACCCGCCGCCAGGUCACACCUUUAUAUACACAGGUUAGGACCUGGCAGCUUAUAGAAUCCCAGCCGGCUUACUCAACGUGACCGGCUCGGUUUCUAACAACUCAGGCCUUAUGGAUCAAGUCUUCCUUCGGCGGUUCACAGGCCCGGGUCUUGGGCCUUCAUCCGGCCUGCUUCCAUGAUCUAUCGUCUUCGUGUUUCUUCUUGGGCCUCCCUGGACCUUUUUCGUGAUAAGCCUCCUACGGUAUAACCCGGCCCCUCCUGGGCGGGUCAUACCUCGGGGCUAUAUCGUCAACAUUAGGCCCCAGGUUAUUUGAACUUGUUCAUAUCAAUCUUCACAUCUGGCCUUAUUAGAAAUGCACCCGCGCCGAAUCUUCAAUAGGACAAUGUAGGCCGCCAUGACGUCACAUAAACAGAAUCAUCAUAAAAUCGCCAUGACGUCACCUGAAUUAAUUUUCGCACAAGGCCUAGAAUAUCUCAACAGAUCCUUAUCUUAGUAGACUUUUCGAAAAUCGAGGCGUCCAUGUUGUUAACAUAAUCAUUUUGCUUCCUUGGUUUUCACGCAAGCCCUCCUUUCACUUCCUUAUAAAUAGGGACAGGAGGCCCUUCUUUUUACUUUUUACCCCUGCCCUUGCAUCUUCUUCUUCCUCCUCGCGACUCCGCUGCGACCGAACACCGCCACCGCCGUCCCUCUUCAUCGACAUCAACUCCGGCCGCUGCAUCAACCUGAAUGGACCAGAAAAUUGCGGCGACCCUCCGCUGUUCAUCAGCAUCAGUGAGUACUUGUCUCCGCUCAUACCAAAUCUGCAUUAGGGUUUCGCCGUUCGUCGGUGUUCUUCACCGUUCAUUGAAGUUUCUCUCUAGAACGCUCAGUUUGAUCUGAAAACAGUACUGAUGCUGUGAGGAAAUAGUCUAGCACCAUCUUCAAACUGUAGACAUACCUCCUCUGUCCGAGAUUAAAUCUCAGUUCGCAAAAAAAAUUCCACUGCCGCAGCUUUAGGUUUAAGAAUUAUUUCCAUUUUCCUGACUGCUGUAGAUCCAGAAUCAUAAGCAAGAUUUGUAAAACCUGUUUAUCCAACACUUACUGAAAUUUUACUCCCCUUCAAAUCUGUAGAUAACCGACCCAUCACUGCCAUGGGGGCGGCUUAAUUGAAAUUUUGUAACCCGCCAAAUGCCUACCGGCUUAUUUCCGAACCUUUUAAACCGUCAGUACUCCUUUAAAGCUUUCUACUAUGAAUUUUAACCCGCUAAUAUUUCCUUAGGCCUUCCGUAACAAAAAAUGACUAAAACCGUCACCUCAUGUGAUUGGGUUGCUUCCACUGUGACGAACAAGCUCUGAACGGAUAUGUUCAAGUGGGCGUUUUGUCAGCCAAAGAGGUUAUCCGUUGGCGAGCUCCAGGGGCUGAAACCAGACCCGAACCCAAGGAAGGCGAAGUCAUAGUGUUCCCUGAUCAUAUGAGCCGGGGUUUCUCUCCACCCGACUCAAAGUUCUUUCGUGACGUCCUGAAAUUUUAUCAACUUCAUCCGCAAGAUAUGAGGCCCAAUUCAGUCUCCAACAUUUGCAACUUCCAAGUCUUUUGUGAAGUGUAUCUUCAGGAGGAACCCAUGGUUGAUUUCAUCAGAGAAUUUUAUUAUUUAAACCGCUAAACAGAAAUGACCGAUGGACCCAAUCUUAAACUCGGCAGGAUAUCUAUCCAAACACAAAAAGAUGUUGUCUUUCCUACGGCCACGAUUCCCUGUCAUCCCAAAGACUGGAAUCAGACUUGGUUCCACUGCCAAGACACCUCUCCGGCGAGUGAGAACCCUCUGUCGGGUUUCCAUGACCACCGGCUUAAUCCAAGACAUCCACUUCCGGAUCGAAUCAGCGCCGCUGAACGGGCCAAAUACACAUCCGCCUUUAGCAAAAUAAGAGCCUUAAUGGCCAACGGCUUAAGUCGCGUCGAUUUGGUCCGAUGUUGGGUUGCCUCGAGGGUCAUGCCACUGAGCCUCUGCCCCGGCUUAAUGUGUGAGAACACAGGUAACACCAAAGAUCCACAACGUCACUGCCAAAUUCGUCUAAGUGACAAGGAGAUCAAUGAAAUGACGAAAAUGAUGCUCAAUGAGAGCUUAGCAACUUGCAGCAAGACGGGGCUGAACCCUUGCACUCUCAACCUGACUCCGGCUGUAAGUAUUUCAAGCUUCAUUAUUAUCUUAUUCUUCUCAUAUAUUGUCUUCUCACUAUUACUUGCUUUCCUCAGGCCGAUGAUCCUUUCUAGAAUAAAAAUUUAGGAUAAGCCGGCCAAGAAGGUCAUAACAAAGAAUAAAGCUCCGAAAAAGCCUGCCAAGAAGAAGACAAAUGCAAUUGAUACAUUCACUCUGGACGAUGAGUCGGAGGUAGAACUUGACUCCCUUGGCUCCUUUUUCUACAUCUUAUUGACACUGAUUGCUAUCAGGAUGACGCGGAGGCCAGCCACGCAGAUGGUGAAGAGGUAACUAUCCUUUCCUAUGACUCAGAACCUCUGCCAAGACAGAAAGUUCGACAAGCAAGCCAGAAAGUAAGGUUUUUCUCACCCUUUAGCUUACUUGGAUCCCAACUUUAUUUUGAAGAAACAACAGCAUGAAGCUCGCUGCACGACCCGGAAUAGCAGGUGAGGGAAUCUUUCCUCUGGCUUACCUAACACACUGGUUCCUCAAAAGCGCCGAAAUGAGGUGCCGUAGAACUCAACCUUAUCUUUUCCAAAGGUGGGUCCCGUCAACCGCUUAACCCUUCCGACUCAAAUUAUCAGGGAACCUCUCAUUCCUCUUCUGGCGACUCAACCGGGACUCGGAUUCCCCUCUUCAAAGUCGCUCCUAGGUGAGAACAUUAGAUUUCUUUGCUUUCACACUUUUCCAACUAAUACAUUAACCUUUUUCUUGUGUCUUAUUUUCAGUGGCAUAGCCAAGCCCAGCAAAAAGCUGAAGGUAAACAAGCCGGUCGAAGACCCCAAGGCUGCUGAGCCGGAGACUCAAACCAUCUCUGAAACCUUUCAAAAAACUCCGGUGGCUGCUGCUGAUGACUUACCACCAGAGACUCAUGAGGUCACAGUGGAUCCAAUGUGUGUUGAUCCGCCUGGUACUAAACCGUCAAGUUCCACCAAGCCUGAUGAAGAAGAGGUUGAACAUGUUGUGGUCACCGGGACUGGUUAUACAGAGCCAGGCAACCCCACCAUGUUAUCAAAACACAGUGCUAAGAAAGAAUUCUCAGCUGCUAAAAAAGCAAAUGGAAAAUAGACUUGGAGAGCUAGGAACUGGUACGCGUUGGUGCUAUACAAACGGUUUUUAACCCCUUUCCACGACGGUGUUCGGAACCGUCGCUAAGUGAGGGACGGCGAUAGGGGGGUCCUUCCCACACGACCCAGAAACCGUUGGGGAUAUUCCCUCCUUGCACACACGCUCGGCAAAAUGAGGUCGUGUGCGAACAGCGAGCACUCAAAUACGGAAAUACGUACAGUAGAGCUAAAAAAUACAAUUAUAAAGGCGAAAUUGUUUCCAGUCGCAAGUACAUCCCACACAGUCAGUCCCCGCUAAAUGUUUCCGUUCGUAUGUACAUCCCACACAGUCGCUCCAAGGAAAACGUUUCCGUUCACAGGUACAUCACACAUAAUUUUCCCCGUUAAAUCGUUUGUGAUAACGUUGCCAUUGCACACGAUAUUAACAAUUUUAUCGUUUGCGUUACUGAAUGCAUCACACACGGUGGAUAGAAGAAACUGUGUGGCAAAGGCUAUCCAUCACACACAGUUUUUAUGUGGUAAACGUUUGCGCAAGGUGGCCUAACGCAAACAGUUUUCAAGAGGAUGUCGUGUGUGCAGUGGAGAUUGAUCGCACCCGUAGUGGAUCUUAGAAACGUUUCUGAUCUCCACGUCUAUCACAGACGUUUCUCUUUCGUAAACCGUGUGUAGUGUGAUCCCUAAUUAAUCCCUAAUUUAAAAAUCACAUGUUUUGAAUUUGAAAGUAGGCAAUCACUUAUUUCAUAUCCAACCAUGUUUAUUACAAAUAUAGGUUCAACCAUGAAUGCAUAAUUCGAUGCACAUGUACAUAUACUGAAGAACUACAGAAGCACCAAGUAAAGAAUGAUGAACCACAGUUGUACUAAAGACUGUAAAGAGAGAGGCGAAAGCCAUUCUGGUCGCUGGAGAAGGUGAAGCGGAAUGCCCAUAUUGUGCCCUCCUCCAUGCAUAAUGCACGCACGACUCUAAGCCAACCCCUUGUGAUGGCUGCCCGUCCAUCCUUCAAUGUCUUCAUUACGACUUCUCGAUGCUCAUUGUAGUCUGGAUGAAACACUUUAACCUUCAUUGCGUGUCCACAAUCAUGUACUUUGCGAGGUAAUCUUGAGUGAACUUCUUCAAGAACCACUGCGAACGGAAAAGAUUCAGACAUUGUUGUCUAACAACUCAUUAUGGGCAAUAAAAAGAGAAGGCUGCAGAGUUUGUAGUUACCAUCCUACAGCUCAUUGUUGUGUUGGAUAGAGCAUAAACAAAUAAUUUGCUUUCCACCAUUCGUAUCUUUUUGCUAAUAAUCCUUAUCAGUUUCCUCACUUGAUGCUUGUAAAUGAAUAUCUCAUUGCCCCAUACGCAAAAAGGGUCGGUGUGUGGAUCCUUGCCUAGGGCAUAUGUACCUACAAGCAACAAGUCAAUAUUAGAAGCUAACAAGUGUCCAGGCCUGGAUCUAUAUGCACUACAUUAUGGAACGACAAGGGGAGUACAAGCCGUGGGAUGAAGCUAACCUCGGCGGAAAAUGGUGGCCACUCCCGUUGUUGUCCUGCAUAAGUAGUGGAAAGGCAUGAUAAGUACAGCAACCUUAACAUCAAACAAAUAUAGCAAAUGUAAACAACAUCAUCUCCAAAUGAUAGCUUAAAUGUGUUGGUUUCAGCAUGCUGUUAAAGCAGAUAUAAAAUGGAAGGCAAUGUUACCGACAGCAGGCUUAACAGCCAUCAAAUAUUGCAAUUCAAAUUGGUAUUGUUGAAAAUGAAUAGAACGUAGGUAAUGCUUAAACAUCACACUGGAUAAAUGUGUAAAACUGAAAUAAAGGGCAUGUGUUAACUACACCAGGAAUAAUUGGAACCAAAUAUAGCCGUUCAAACUAGUAUUGAUAUAGUCGAGCAGCACAGCUCCGACUUGCAUAUAAUGGACAACACAUUGUGAAUGAUUGAAAUAAACAAUGCAUAAAUGACCAGUAUAACAACCAGAUAUAGCCAUUGAAAACUGGACAGAGUCUCACUGCAACCAACCUAACAAGCAAAUACAGAUAAAUAGGGCAUAUGCUUGAAAACUAGACAAAUGCUCACUGCAACCAACCUAACAAGCAGAUACAGAUAAACAAGGCAUCUGCUUGAUAACUGGACAAAUGCUAAAAAAAGCAACCUAAUAACCAAAUACAGAUAAACAAGGCAUCUGCUUGAUAACUGGACAAAUGCUCACUGCAACCAAACUAAGAACCAAAUACAUAUAAACAAGGCAUCUGCUCGAUAACUGGAAAAAUGCUCACUCCAACCAAUCUAACAACCAAAUACAGAUAAACAAGGCAUCUACUCACUAUAAACAACCAAAUAUAGCCAUUCGUGAAACUGAAGUGGACAAUUCAUACUUAAACAUCACAUAGCCCUAUUGAACAAUACAUUUUUGCAUAACUAAAAUAGUUAAACACGGCACAGUUAAAGCACCGCACGACAAAUGCUACCACAACAAAGGGUACGGGUUGGCAAGCUAGAAAAGGUAAGAUUUGCUGAUAGAAUGUUGCCUCACAUUUCAUGGACGGGAUCCUUCCAGUUGGAAGAGCAUAGACCCAUGGUGCGCUCUCUGAUGUCACAGAUGGGCUGUUUCACCUUGGAAGAACCUUCGUGGGUGCCCUCCUCAUGGUCGUGGUCGUGGUCGAUGAGAUCUCACUUGGGAAUUGAGGAUCCAAAGCCGCCGCCGUAGAACGUGUCCUUCAGAAAUGACAAAAUGGGCUCGAUGGCGUAUAAAGCUCGCAAAUUUGACCGCUUGGCAGAGGAGAUCAGCGGCAGGGCCGUCGAAGAGGUCGAUGGCGGUUGAACCAGAGGGGUUGGGGAUGGACCACUUAACCUAUGACAUGGCCCGCGUGAAGCCGUCGCUGUGGACAAGCUUGAUGUCGUAGCCAGCUUUCCCGAGAUACAGUAAUACGCUAGCCCGCUGACAUGAAGCCUUCGGCAUGGCAACGUAGUCAACGUCUUCGCUGGCUUCUGCGAUGACGUGUUGCUCCGGGAUCGAUAGGUCGGGGCAAACGGCGGCCACCUAGCCAAUGUCCGCCGGAGAGGCCAUCAUAAACCUCUUCUUGGCCGAAUGCUCGUCGGGCUCCCCGGGAUACGUGGUCGAGCUUAGGCUGCGACAUUCUGGAGCAGGGGAUGUGGAUCUGGCGGGGAGGGACACCGCAGGCCUCAUCUAAAAACUCAGGGGAGUGGGGCGACGGUAUGGGAAUCGUUGGGUAACCUACACUUUAUUAUCUAAGCUAGGAGGAACGGGCAGACUGGCAGGGUUGGCGGCGGCGCCGACGGCGGCCGCGAGCUAGGGUUCGAGGGGGGCAGGUAGGGUACUGUGGAGGGGGGUGUUUGAGGAUACGCCACGGCUACUGAAAAUUUUAGUAAUGGUGGGUGGAGAUGGUGGUGCAUGAGGGAGGGCGACGGUUCAAUGCCUCAGCUACUUCAAUUUUACUAUAAGGUCGAUGCUGGAGGAGUGUGGGCGACGGUUGAAGUACGGUGGCUACUAAAAUUUGGGUAAAGGAAUUGAUGUGGGGGGAGUGCCCAAGAUUGCGCACGGUCCAAUAACAAUAAGCGUGUAUGAUAAUAAGGAAAAGUGGCACGGAACCGCCGAUUUUUGCAACGCUCAAGGCGGGUAGUUUGUUUUUAUAUUUCUAGCCAGCUGGUCUAUCACACACGGUUCGUCCUAAUUUCCAAAUAAACUUACCCGCCUUUAGCUUGCCCAGGUGGUGGUUUUACAGCUCACUUGCAUCUCACACGGUUAAGCCAGUACCUCCACCCUUUGCUCGCGCUUGCGUGGUCAUGGUGAUUUUACAGCGCACUUGUAUCGCACAAGGUUGAGCCAGUACCUCCACCUUUGCUCGUGCUUGCGUAGGCGUGGUGAUGCACAGCGCACUUGUAUCGCACACAGUUAAGAUAUUAUACCCAUGUCCGUUGAGCGUCAUCAGAGUGUUUGCAGCAAAAAAUAAGGUUAGAGAGGGUCACAAGACAGCCAAACCAGCAUGUGGCCCAAAUAUAUAUGAGUGAAAAGGGUGGUCUGUGAUGUUCAAAAUUCCAAUGCACAACUUUGACCGCGUGGGCCCACGGUUGGGUGCGUCGUCGAAGAUCGGUGAGAGGGGCCAGAAGUCAAGAACCACCUGGAAGUGGCCAAAUAUAUGUAGGAAUAUUGGGGAUGUUUAAAACUUUAAAUACACAAUGCAUAACUUUGGUGGCACCUGCCUCGCAAACCCGAAAGCACCCUUGGAUAUAUAUAUAUAUAUAUAUAUAUAUAUAUAUAUAUAUAUAUAUAAUGACAUAAUGUCGUACCUAGCUAGGAUGAUUGGCCAACCACCUCCCACUUCGUGUCAGCGGGGCGGAUGCACGUAAUGAUCGAUACUUUGGUCAUACAUGCAUGUCGCCAUGGCCUACCAUAAGAGGGACCAAUGAAUCUAUCGUUUGGUCAAACGACAGUUGUUGUUGUCGAUAAACUGCUUGGGCCAAUAGAUUGAACCAUCAUAAAAAUCGCACGAGAGGGACCACAAAACCAGCACCUCUUGCAUGCGGCGCAAAAUGAUGUAUGUUGGGAAGGGGUGAUGUGUGUUUUCAAUAUAGAAUAAUGUACAAUUUAGAUGUGGUGCCUACCUCUCGAUACAGACAACAACCAUGAAGGCAAGGUAGUUAAGGACGAGAUACGCAGGGUAUGAUGUAGGUCGAACCCAGCAAUCCGAGCAUGUGGGAGGGAGUCUUGACAACGCAUGAGCUCGAGCUUUGGUUGAGCGACAUGUGACAGUGACCAGCCCUAACACGAACUAGGAGAAAUCCAUUCAUGGCCAACAUGUACCCCUCAUUAUCGGUCAAAGGGAUGAUAUAUAUAUACACUCGGGGAGCCCACAGAUAUGCGUGUCGUCACAAAAAACCGCACAAGGGAGAUGUGGUCGAUCAGAAGACCCCGUAUACACUACAUGCGGCUCAAAAAUAUGUAUGGGUACAAUGGUGUGUGACGUAUUUAAAUCCCAAAUGCACAACUUCGAUGGGCCACCAACUACAUUAUAAACCGAACACCGUACCCGACUCCAAGCCUGGUUCACUACGUACGAUGUCAGUUUCCCAACUUCGAGGCGGCGACAGGGGGGUCGUCCCACGCAUGUGCUCAAAAUUUAUUUGGUCUAGCAUGGGACACAUCUAUAUCUAUACCCCUAUAUAGUGUGCGAAUAACUUUGAAAGUUGGUCAUUGGAUGAAGCCAAUCCGACGGUACAGAGAUGGCAAAUCCGAGCACUACUGGCCAUUGGAUAUCAUCUACACAUUCCACCAGAUUCUGCCACAUGUACAAUCUAGAAGACUCCAUGGUUGAACUUAAGCAUAAUGCACAAACCUCAAAACACAAGCACUUAUCCUUUGUUCUCUAGAAUCUUCCAUAUCUUAAUUGCCCAAACUUUUUUUCUAAAUGGAUUGUCACCUUUUGUUUUUACUUUAUGCUUUAAAAUGCACAAUUCCAUGAAUCUUAAAAUAGAUUUGUUUAUAGAACGAAUUGAUUUUGGAUGACAUGAACUAUAAGAAUUAAACGAACAUCUACAUCAUGCAUAUAUGACUCAAAGCUUACAUGCUAUAGUGUUGGGCCCCCUAAUUGUCGGUAAAGGAUGGUAUAUAUACCUCGGGGAGCCCACAGAUAUGUGCCGCGUCUAUAAGCCGGACAAGGGAGACAUGCUCGAGAAGAACACCCUGCCCCCCUAUACCCUGCAUGCAACCUAAAAAAGGUUUAUAUAAUCGCCAUGACAGGUCAAGUCAAUCAUUCUUUAAUUUUUUAGAGGAAAAAAUAACCCAUAAAAACAUAGUAGGUUUAUAUAAUCGCCAUGACAUGUCAAGUCAAUAUUUCUUUAAUUUUUUAGAGCAAAAAGUAACCCAUAAAAACAUAGUAGGUUUAUAUAAUCACCAUGACAGGUCAAGUCAAUACUUCUUUAAUUUUUUAGAGCAAAAGAUAACCCAUAAAAACAUAGUCUAAAAAUUAGCAAAACAAGGAUCCCAAGGUUUAUAUAAUUGUCAUGAUAGGUCACUAUAGAGAUAUAAUAUAUCUCUAUAAUGACUGUGUCAUGGCAUUUAAAUGAAGCUUAAGAUAUGCAACUUCCCACCGGGUCACCCAUCCUUGGACUACUCCAGCCCGAGCACGCUUAACUUCUGUGUUCUAUUCGACUAGGCUAGCGGAUGGUAAGCCGGCCCUUGCUGAUAAGAAUUGCCUCCUUGCCAUUAAGGCGUUUCACGCUGGUCACCCUAUGGGACCUACUCCCUCAUAUCACACACAUUUGUGCUUUUAGAAACUGUGUGGGAUAUUUACAUGGCCGGUGUGUUGCCGCUAGCCUUCAAUGAGCACUGACACUGGUAGCGGGAAAACGAUGGGAGAAGAGGCAGGAAAACGAUGAGAGGAGUGGCGGGUAGCCUGUUUAGAAAACCUAGUAGAGAAGGAAGCGUGAGCUAGCACAAUGCCUGCGCACAGUGCUUACCCAUGUACUGCAUGUGCUGUCGAAAGAGCUCAGGAUUGUCGUUCGAUCUGGGAGCAUCCAAUGGCGGACACGUAAGAUCCGUGGGGUUUGGGUUCUGGCCAAUCAGAACGCACGACUCAGAUCGCGCGCGCAGCAUGGGGGGAGGGGGGCAUCAGCCACAGUUUGGUAGGCACACAGCUUUCAUGAGUGAACCGUGUGCUAUUUGAAAACAUUUCAUGAGAAGAAUCUUGGUUUUUAAAUCCCCGUAAAUCCAAAACUAACCCGAAAAUCGUGAAACCUGGCAUGGUGUCACAACAUGGCACAUAUAUGUCGAGGAAUUUUUUUCUUCCAUUUUGGCGCAAGUUUUAUUACAAGCCUCUUACAAACCGGAGCUUCUCUCAAAUAAGCCUCGUGGUUCCGAUAGGGAAACGUGUCCCCCUUGUGGGCGAAACGUAAUCACUGCCUCUUUUCGCCUUGUAUUUUCUUCUACGGGCAACAUGGAACGACAGGAUAUCUGUGCUGAAAUUUAAACUUAUCCAGGGUUCGUUUGGCCUUUUUAUACACUAAUUGAGUUUCCUAGGCAUUUAAUGUCCAUGAUUCAAAUCUGAACUUCAAAUACAUGCUCCAGUUCACCAAAAUGGCUAGAAAAUUUAUACAUGUGUCCUUGGGUGCAUGUUUAGGUCCCAUGCCAGGAAUGGGAACGAAUUACAACCAUACCCACGUCCUGGCUCGUCCUCAAACAUUUGGAAUAUCGUUUUUUAAAUCCCCGUAAAUCCUAAACUCACCAGAAAGUCAUCAAAGGUGGCAUGGUGUCACGUCAUGGCACAUAUAUGUCAUGGUAAAAACAUUGUCCAAUUUGGGCCAAGCUUUAUCACAAACCUCUUACAAAUCGGAGCUUCUCUCAAAGAAGCCUCGUGGUUCCGAUAGGGAAACGUGUUCCCCUUGGGGGCGAAACGUAAUCACCGCCUCUUUUUGCCUUGUAUUUUCUUCCACGGGCAACAUGGAAUGACAUGAUAUCCGUGCUGAAAUUUAAACUUAUUCAGGGUUCGUUUGGCCUUUUUAUACACUAAUUGAGUUUCCUAGGCAUUUAAUGUCCAUAAUUCAAAUCUGAACUUCAAAUACAUGCUCCAGUUCACCAAAAUGGCUAGAAAAAUUAUACAUGUGUCCUUGGGUGCAUGUUUAGGUCCCAUGCCAGGAAUGGGAAUGAAUUACAACUGUACCAGUGUCCUGGCUCGUCCUCAAACAUUUUGAAUCUCGGUUUUUAAAUCCCCAUAAAUCCAAAACUCACUAGGAAGUCAUUAAAGGUGGCAUGGUGUCACGUCAUGGCACCAUGUAUAAUUUGGGCGAAGCUAUAUUACAAGCCUCUUACAAACCGGAGCCUGUCGCAACCCUCGUGGUUCCGGUAGGGAAACAUGCCCCUCUUGUGGGCAAAACGAUAAUCGCUGCCUCUUCUUGCCUUGAACUUUGUUUUCUACAGGCAACAUAGAAUAACAGGAGUGUCGGGCUGAAACUUGAAAUUGUUCAGGGUUCGUUUGGCCAUUGUAUAUAUUGCUAAUUACUAAGUUUUCUACGCAUUUAAUGUAGUCCAUAAUUCAAAUUUGAACUACAAGCACAUGCUCCAGCGAAGCAAAAUGGGUGGGAAGUCGUACAUGUGUCAUUGGGUGCAUGUUUAGGUCUCAUUUAAGGAAUGGGAAUGAAUUACAAACUUGUCGUCGUCCUGAAACAUUGAGAAUCUCGGUUUUUAAAUCCCAGUAAAUCAAAAACUCACCCAAAAAACAUGAAACUUGGCAUGGUUUUAUGACAUGGCACAUAUAUGUCAUGGUAAAAAAAUCGUCCAGUUUGAGAAGAGGCGCACACAUUAGUAACCAACGAAGUCCUUUUUGAAACAAAAAGCUGACACGUUAAUAUCGGAAAUGGUUGUAUUAUAUUAACCGUGUCGAAAUUUAACCAUACUCGAUGGCGUGCGAGCAACUGUUUGACUAGACGGGACAAGCGCGAGAAUUCCGCCGUGCAGGCUUGACGGGACGCGUGCAAGCAGUCCGCCGCGCAGGCUCGACGGGACGGGUGCAUCCUAUCCACCUCGCAGGCUCGACGGGACACGUGCGAGCAGCAAGGCCGCCCAUGCUCACCAGGAAGCGAGCUCUUUGACCUCCAUGCACCAGCCGCCGCCCGCCUCGCUCAGAACUCCUCCAUUAAUGGGUUAAUUAAAGCACCUGGACGGAGGGUGUUUGCUUGUGAUCCCAUGGCAGCAUUUGCUUUGUUCGUGUUUUCAACUCGUAUUCUGCCCUAAUUUAAAUUGCCACAUAGGGCAAUGGAUAAUACGAUAACAAAUAAAAUGGCAACGGAUAAUACCACGACAAAUUUACAAUGGCGCAGAUAAUAUUUGUCUUACAUAUUUCGGAUAAUUUAAAACGCCACAUGUGGCAAAGCCCGGAAUACACGGGGGCAAGAGAAGAAGGAAAUUGCAGACAACGAUCUGGGUCGCUACUGUCUCUACUCGUCGAUGGAUCGUCGGGCGACGACAUCCUCCAGCUCCUUCUUCAAUUCCUCACGACUUUGCUCGAAAGCAGCCACGGAUUCCUCCACCUUUUGCUCACGCUCGAUCCGGAGCUUCCUCAAGCCACCCAUCAGUUCCUCGACGACCGCUUUCAGCGUCAUUCCUGAGGCACCGCUAUGCUCAUGCAGCAUCUUCCAGCCGGCGGCCUCCUCCUCCUUCUUGGCGAGCAACUUGAGGAGCUUCGCAUUGUCACCCAUGAGUUUCUCGAUGAGGCCGGUCGCCUUGUCAACCGAGGCAUCGCUGAUCUUGAGCAGCUUCAUCAAGCCGUCGACCAGCUUCAUCAAGCCGUCGACCAGCUCCUGCUGUGUAGUGACGCCAGCGAGAAUGUCGUCAUCACCGGCGAAGGACUUCAGGAACGCCCGCUCGUCGCGAUGGUCGACGCCGCGAAUGCGCUUGUGAGAGCCCUCGCGUGACCGUGAGAGCUCGUUCGAGGGCUUCGCGGCGUGCUGGGACCUCUCUGCUGCGGCUGCGGCUUCGCGGCGGGACCUCUCUAGUACUUCCGCGGCCUUGGUCUUUGCUGCCUGGUAGUCCACCCUAAACUCCUCCUACCGGUCAUGGUGGAACGGCUUGACAGGAAAGACCAGUUUUGUGGGUGAUGAGGAGAGGAACUGUGAAGUAAUUUUCAAGUGGGUAGUUUUUAUAGCCCGGUGCUAAGUGUGAACACAUAUUAGUUUUAUAGGUGUGAAAAGAUUUGCAAUUACUUAUUGCGUUGUAAUCUGCAAUGUGACGAGAAACAAGGUCAAAAUAUAUUGAUGGCAGAAGGUUGACCACAUGGUUCCUCGCCGUUCAGUCGGCUGUUUGCCACGUAUCACACACAUCUUGUUAAGUUGAACUGUUUCUGUUGUGUUCGCUAAUCUAAAAUAGUUCGUCCGAGUGAAUCGUAUGCCCUAUAUCACACACACCUUGAUUUGGCUAACCGUUUCUGUUGCACUCCCUAAUAGCAAACAGUUCAUCGGAGCGAACUGUAUGCCGUAUACCGCACACACAUUGAUACGGCUGCCCGUUUUUGUUGUUCUGCCUCAUCGCAAACAGUUCGAACGGGUUAACCGUGUGCCCUAAAUCACACACGCAACUAAAAUCUGAACCGUGUUUCAUGGCUCUACCAUCGCAAACAUUUUGCACCUUUUUUGACGGUUUUUUACAUCCCCAUUUAUGAUUAAUGCAUCGCACACAGUUUCGUCAAAGGGUAUCUGAUCGUAGUGUCGUGUUCGCAGCAUCCUGCAGUAGUGAGGCCAGCUUCAGCGCCAGCGAAAUUCAUUCGGGCUACUUAAGCCGCCUGCAUACUAGUCGAGACAUGGAAGCCGGCUUAGUCAAUCUGAUGAAAGAGCUUUGAGGUAAACACUGGGACCCUUCUCAUAUCAACAUAUGUGUCAGCCGCCAAGUCUAUAGGAUACGAAAGAAUUUGAGAAUGUUGUAGACUUAAAUGACAGCCUUCUUGCGACCCUUCAAAUUUAUCUUCUCUGCAUUAGAUCCAUUUAAGUAGCCUCCAAGGGCCGGCUUAAACUGAAUAGUUAAGCUGGGACUUAAUAUCAUGUUUGUAAAAAAUCUGAAUAUGUAGCACCCAUGAGCCGGCUUAAUUUGAAAAAUCUAGCCGGGUUAGUAAGGAUUCGUUUUGAAAAAGAAUGACCUAUGUUAGCCCCCAAGUGCCAAGAAGAAUACUUUGUAAUGUACUUGGGACUUCAAUAGAAUGAUUAUCAUGACUCCUGAGUACUGCUUGAUUUAUCCUUGCAGGCUGAGCUAAGCAUGAAAGAGUCUCAGGUGGUCGAUCUGCAGAAGAACAUCACCUUAUAACAAUCAGAAACAUCGAAGGCCAAAUCAGAACUAAAAGCCGCCUUAGAAAUAUCUGAAAAACUGCAGACAGACUUCGACACGCAGAGAGCCAGGUGGGAGACCGAAAAAGCAGCUCUUCUGAAAAGAGCUAAAGAUGUUGAAGCUGCCCUGAAACCGGUGACUGGAGAUUUAUCCCGUUUAAAGCGACAUGUAAAUCAAAUGACAACCGCCAUCUUUGGCAAGUGUUAUUGCAUUGCAAUUUUACACCAGUAACUUUCUUUAACCCGCCUGGCGACUUAUCAUAUGUUAUGCAUGCAGGCCCCAGAAGCUCUAACCUUGGCCAAGACAAGUUGGUGAACCUGAAGGCGGUUUAUACUCUAGUGGAACCGGUGUACACAGGCACGUAGCAACCCUUACCAGCUAUCUCGCAUAAUAAGCAACCACCUUCACUCAUUAAGGAUGUAUUGGACAAGUUAUUUGUCAUGCCCAAGAGGAUUGAAGAGAUCAAGCGAUCCGUAGCUCGAGCCGGCGCCAUCACUGCAUUGAGCCGGGCCAAAGCAUGGCAGGCG
rnacentral:lncRNA from 1 species